GAUGAACGCUGGCUACAGGCUUAACACAUGCAAGUCGAGGGGAAACGACGGGGAAGCUUGCUUCCCCGGGCGUCGACCGGCGCACGGGUGAGUUACGCGUAUCCAACCUGCCUCUGACUGAGGGAUAACCCGUCGAAAGUCGGCCUAAUACCUCAUGGUAUCGUCUGCGGGCAUCCAACGACGAUUAAAGAUUUCAUCGGUCAGGGAUGGGGAUGCGUCUGAUUAGCUUGUUGGCGGGGUAACGGCCCACCAAGGCUACGAUCAGUAGGGGUUCUGAGAGGAAGGUCCCCCACAUUGGAACUGAGACACGGUCCAAACUCCUACGGGAGGCAGCAGUGAGGAAUAUUGGUCAAUGGGCGAGAGCCUGAACCAGCCAAGUAGCGUGCAGGAAGACGGCCCUAUGGGUUGUAAACUGCUUUUAUGCGGGGAUAAAGUGAGGGACGUGUCCCUCAUUGCAGGUACCGCAUGAAUAAGGACCGGCUAAUUCCGUG
rnacentral:rRNA from 1 species